rnacentral:rRNA from 1 species
GAAUAUUGGACAAUGGGGGCAACCCUGAUCCAGCCAUGCCGCGUGUGUGAGGAAGGCCUUAGGGUUGUAAAACACUUUCAGCGGGGAAGAUGAUGACGGUACCCGGAGCAGAAGCCCCGGCUAACUUCGUGCCAGCAGCCGCGGUAAUACGAAGGGGGCAAGCGUUGUUCGGAAUUACUGGGCGUAAAGGGCGCGUAGGCGGUCCGUUGCGUCAGGUGUGAAAUCCCCGGGCUCAACCUGGGAACUGCACUUGAUACGGGCGGGCUGGAAUACGUGAGAGGUUGGUGGAAGUCCCAGUGUAGAGGUGAAAUUCGUAGAUAUUGGGAAGAACACCGGUGGCGAAGGCGGCCAACUGGCACGGUAUUGACGCUGAGGCGCGAAAGCGUGGGGAGCAAACAGG